rnacentral:rRNA from 1 species
GGAAUUGACGGGGACCCGCACAAGCGGUGGAGCAUGUGGUUUAAUUCGAAGCAACGCGAAGAACCUUACCAACUCUUGACAUCCCCCUGACCGGUACAGAGAUGUGCCUUCCCCUUCGGGGGCAGGGGUGACAGGUGGUGCAUGGUUGUCGUCAGCUCGUGUCGUGAGAUGUUGGGUUAGGUCCCGCAACGAGCGCAACCCUUGUCCUUAGUUGCCAGCAUUCAGUUGGGCACUCUAAGGAGACUGCCGGUGACAAACCGGAGGAAGGUGGGGAUGACGUCAAAACAUCAUGCCCCUUAUGAGUUGGGCUACACACGUGCUACAAUGGACGGUACAAAGGGCAGCGAAGCCGCGAGGUGGAGCCAAUCCCAGAAAGCCGUUCUCAGUUCGGAUUGCAGGCUGCAACUCGCCUGCAUGAAGUCGGAAUCGCUAGUAAUCGCAGGUCAGCAUACUGCGGUGAAUACGUUCCCGGGUCUUGUACACACCGCCCGUCACACCACGAGAGUUUGCAACACCCGAAGUCGGUGAGUAACCGUAAGGAGCCAGCCGCCGAAGUGGCAGUNUUGG